GGGGCUGGCCGAAAGGAUCGGGUCCCACCACGGCGGGGAGUUACCCC
ncrna:unclassified sequences DTF3800-XI RNA